AUACGUAGGGGGCGAGCGUUGUCCGGAAUUACUGGGCGUAAAGGGCGUCUAGGUGGCCUCUUGUGUGUAAGGUUAAAGGCGUCGGCUCAACCGACGACGUGCCUUGCAAACGGGGAGGCUUGAGAACAGGAGAGGGAUGCGGAAUUCCCGGUGGAGCGGUGAAAUGCGUAGAGAUCGGGAAGAACACCAGUGGCGAAGGCGGCAUCCUGGCCUGGAUCUGACACUGAAGCGCGAAAGCGUGGGGAGCGAACGGGAUUAGAUACCCCGGUAGUCCACGCCGUAAACGAUGGGUACUAGGUGUGGGAGGUAUCGACCCCUUCCGUGCCGGAGCUAACGCACUAAGUACCCCGCCUGGGGAGUACGGCUGCAAGGCUGAA
rnacentral:rRNA from 1 species